rnacentral:rRNA from 1 species
AGCAGCCGCGGUAAUUCCAGCUCCAAUAGCGUAUAUUAAAGUUGUUGCAGUUAAAAAGCUCGUAGUUGAACUUCGGGGUUUACCCAUUGGUCAGGCUUAAUUGUCUGUACUGGUGAGAUAAAUCUCUACCUUCUGAGGAACUUUCAUGUCAUUAAUUUGGUGUGAUUGGAAAUCAGGACUGUUACUUUGAAAAAAUUAGAGUGUUUAAAGCAGGCUAACGUCUGAAUACAUUAGCAUGGAAUAAUGAAAUAGGACGGACUGAUUCUAUUUCGUUGGUUUCUAGGAUCACCGUAAUGAUUAAUAGGGAUAGUUGGGGGCAUUAGUAUUCAAUUGUCAGAGGUGAAAUUCUUGGAUUUAUUGAAGACUAACUACUGCGAAAGCAUUUGCCAAGGAUGUUUUCAUUAAUCAAGAACGAAAGUUAGGGGAUCGAAGACGAUCAGAUACCGUCGUAGUCUUAACCAUAAACUAUGCCGACUAGGGAUCGGACGAAGUUAAUUUUAUAAUGACGCGUUCGGCGCCU